rnacentral:rRNA from 1 species
ACGCUGGCGGCGUGCCUAAUACAUGCAAGUAGAACGCUGAAGAGAGGAGCUUGCUCUUCUUGGAUGAGUUGCGAACGGGUGAGUAACGCGUAGGUAACCUGCCUUGUAGCGGGGGAUAACUAUUGGAAACGAUAGCUAAUACCGCAUAACAAUGGGUGACACAUGUCAUUUAUUUGAAAGGGGCAAUUGCUCCACUACAAGAUGGACCUGCGUUGUAUUAGCUAGUAGGUGAGGUAACGGCUCACCUAGGCGACGAUACAUAGCCGACCUGAGAGGGUGAUCGGCCACACUGGGACUGAGACACGGCCCAGACUCCUACGGGAGGCAGCAGUAGGGAAUCUUCGGCAAUGGGGGCAACCCUGACCGAGCAACGCCGCGUGAGUGAAGAAGGUUUUCGGAUCGUAAAGCUCUGUUGUAAGUCAAGAACGAGUGUGAGAGUGGAAAGUUCACACUGUGACGGUAGCUUACCAGAAAGGGACGGCUAACUACGUGCCAGCAGCCGCGGUAAUACGUAGGUCCCGAGCGUUGUCCGGAUUUAUUGGGCGUAAAGCGAGCGCAGGCGGUUUGAUAAGUCUGAAGUUAAAGGCUGUGGCUCAACCAUAGUUCGCUUUGGAAACUGUCAAACUUGAGUGCAGAAGGGGAGAGUGGAAUUCCAUGUGUAGCGGUGAAAUGCGUAGAUAUAUGGAGGAACACCGGUGGCGAAAGCGGCUCUCUGGUCUGUAACUGACGCUGAGGCUCGAAAGCGUGGGGAGCGAACAGGAUUAGAUACCCUGGUAGUCCACGCCGUAAACGAUGAGUGCUAGGUGUUGGAUCCUUUCCGGGAUUCAGUGCCGCAGCUAACGCAUUAAGCACUCCGCCUGGGGAGUACGACCGCAAGGUUGAAACUCAAAGGAAUUGACGGGGGCCCGCACAAGCGGUGG